AAGAAAGUCCGGAGCCUUCAGGGAACAUAGAUCAUGUGUUUCAUCUCAGCAUUGAAGUCUCCAUGCCUAAAGACAUCUCUAGAUGGAAGAUCAAUUUCUCUGUAUCCAGUGUGACCUUGCCUCAGAGCUUAGCUCGUUUUGGAGCUGUCCUUGGUGCUUACCUCAGAUCUGGAACUCAAUUUUCAGGACUGAUCCAGCCUGCAGUUUCCUCAUAAUGAGGAGUCUAUUUUUCAUGAACCAGGUGCCUCUCUGCCCACCUUGGAACCCUGCCACUAUCCCUACAUGGACUUGCAGGAAAAUAUGCCAAUUCCACCUUCCCUUGCUCUCCUCUGCUAUGUUUUUCUCUCUCACUCUCUCCAUAAUUCUUCCUCAGUACAGUUUUCUUGGCAUAUCUCCCUACUUAGACAUACAUCCAAACAGUAAUUUCUAUGAUGAGUGUAAGUGGUUGGUAUGGCAAGAAAAAACACAGAGCUGGAUGUUAGAAAUCCUGGAUUUUAGAUUUUAGUUAUGGCUCUAAUAUUAACGAGCCCUGUGACUUGACUAAGUCAUGCAAAAUCUCAGAAAUCUGCUUUUCCAUUUAUAAAGUUGAGAUAAUCAC
rnacentral:lncRNA from 1 species